AUUGAACGCUGGCGGCAGGCCUAACACAUGCAAGUCGAACGAGUGGCGGACGGGUGAGUAAUGUAUGGGAAACUGCCCGAUGGAGGGGGAUAACUACUGGAAACGGUAGCUAAUACCGCAUACCAUCGGAUGUGCCCAGAUGGGAUUAGCUAGUAGGUGGGGUAACGGCUCACCUAGGCAACGAUCCAUAGCUGGUUUGAGAGGAUGACCAGCCACACUGGAACUGAGAAACGGUCCAGACUCCUACGGGAGGCAGCAGUGGGGAAUAUUGCACAAUGGGCGCAAGCCUGAUGCAGCCAUGCCGCGUGUAUGAAGAAGGCCUUCGGGUUGUAAAGUACUUUCAGCGAGGAGGCGUUACUCGCAGAAGAAGCACCGGCUAACUCCGUGCCAGCAGCCGCGGUAAUUC
rnacentral:rRNA from 1 species